GACGAACGCUGGCGGCGUGCUUAACACAUGCAAGUCGAACGGAAAGGCCCUGCUUUUGUGGGGUGCUCGAGUGGCGAACGGGUGAGUAACACGUGAGUAACCUGCCCUUGACUUUGGGAUAACUUCAGGAAACUGGGGCUAAUACCGGAUAGGAGCUCCUGCUGCAUGGUGGUGGUUGGAAAGUUUCGGCGGUUGGGGCUGGACUCGCGGCUUAUCAGCUUGUUGGUGGGGUAGUGGCUUACCAAGGCUUUGACGGGUAGCCGGCCUGAGAGGGUGACCGGCCACAUUGGGACUGAGAUACGGCCCAGACGCCUACGGGAGGCAGCAGUGGGGAAUAUUGCGCAGUGGGGGGAAGCCUGAUGCAGCAACGCCGCGUGCGGGAUGACGGCCUUCGGGUUGUAAACCGCUUUCGCCUGUGACGAAGCGUGAGUGACGGUAAUGGGUAAAGAAGCACCGGCUAACUACGUG
rnacentral:rRNA from 1 species